rnacentral:rRNA from 1 species
GACGAACGCUGGCGGCGUGCUUAACACAUGCAAGUCGAACGGUGAAGCGCCUUCCUUUUUGGUGGGUGUGGAUGAGUGGCGAACGGGUGAGUAACACGUGAGUAACCUGCCCCCUUCUUCUGGAUAACCGCAUGAAAGUGUGGCUAAUACGGGAUAUUCUGGGUCUGUCGCAUGAUGGGUCUGGGAAAGAUAUUGUUUCGGUGGGGGAUGGGCUCGCGGCCUAUCAGCUUGUUGGUGGGGUGAUGGCCUACCAAGGCGGUGACGGGUAGCCGGCCUGGGAGGGUGGACGGUCACACUGGGACUGAGACACGGCCACGACUCCUACGGGAGGCAGCCGUGGCUACUAUUGCACGCUGGGCGCAAGCCUGAUGCAGCGACGCCGCGUGAGGGAUGGAGGCCUGCGGGUUGUGAACCUCUUUCGCCAGUGAAGCAGGCCUGCCUCGUUUGUGGGUGGGUUGACGGUAGCUGGAUAAGAAGCGCCGGCUAACUACGUG